rnacentral:rRNA from 1 species
AUUGAACGCUGGCGGCAUGCCUUACGCAUGCAAGUCGAACGGCAGCACGGGAGCAAUCCUGGUGGCGAGUGGCGAACGGGUGAGUAAAGUAUCGGAACGUGCCCAGUCGUGGGGGAUAACGUAGCGAAAGUUACGCUAAUACCGCAUACGAUCUAUGGAUGAAAGCGGGGGAUCGCAAGACCUCGCGCGAUUGGAGCGGCCGAUAUCAGAUUAGGUAGUUGGUGGGGUAAAGGCUCACCAAGCCGACGAUCUGUAGCUGGUCUGAGAGGACGACCAGCCACACUGGAACUGAGACACGGCCAGACUCAUAGGGGAGGCAGCAGUGGGGAAUUUUGGACAAUGGGCGAAAGCCUGAUCCAGCCAUGCCGCGUGCAGGAUGAAGGCCUUCGGGUUGUAAACUGCUUUUGUACGGAACGAAAAGGUUUGGCCUAAUAAGCUGAGCUCAUGACGGUACCGGAAGAAUAAGGACCGGCUAACUACGUGCCAGCAGCCGCCGUAA